GACGAACGCUGGCGGCGUGCUUAACACAUGCAAGUCGAACGGUGAAGCGCCUUCCUUUUUGGUGGGUGUGGAUGAGUGGCGAACGGGUGAGUAACACGUGAGUAACUUGCCCCCUUCUUCUGGAUAACCGCAUGAAAGUGUGGCUAAUACGGGAUAUUCUGGGUCUGUCGCAUGAUGGGUCUGGGAAAGAUAUUGUUUCGGUGGGGGAUGGGCUCGCGGCCUAUCAGCUUGUUGGUGGGGUGAUGGCCUACCAAGGCGGUGACGGGUAGCCGGCCUGAGAGGGUGGCCGGCCACACUGGGACUGAGCCGCCGCCCCGACUCCUACGGGGGGCAGCAGUGGAGAAUAUUGCACAGUGGGCGCAAUCCUGAUGCAGCGACGCCGCGUGAGGGAUGGAGGCCUUCGGGUUGUGAACCUCUUUCGCCAGUGAAGCGGGCCUGCCUCGUUUGUGGGUGGGUUGACGGUAGCUGGAUAAGAAGCGCCGGCUAACUACGUG
rnacentral:rRNA from 1 species